AGCGACGUGGCGUGAAUGGAUAACCACAAGCCCGCAAGGUUUGGUCACGUAGGUUCGAAUCCUACCGUCGCUGCCA
rnacentral:tRNA from 1 species